UGGGGAAUUUUGGACAAUGGGCGAAAGCCUGAUCCAGCCAUGCCGCGUGCAGGAUGAAGGCCUUCGGGUUGUAAACUGCUUUUGUACGGAAUGAAAAGACUCUGGUUAAUACCUGGGGUCCAUGACGGUACCGUAAGAAUAAGCACCGGCUAACUACGUGCCAGCAGCCGCGGUAAUACGUAGGGUGCAAGCGUUAAUCGGAAUUACUGGGCGUAAAGCGUGCGCAGGCGGUUAUAUAAGACAGAUGUGAAAUCCCCGGGCUCAACCUGGGAACUGCAUUUGUGACUGUAUAGCUAGAGUACGGCAGAGGGGGAUGGAAUUCCGCGUGUAGCAGUGAAAUGCGUAGAUAUGCGGAGGAACACCGAUGGCGAAGGCAAUCCCCUGGGCCUGUACUGACGCUCAUGCACGAAAGCGUGGGGAGCAAACAGGAUUAGAUACCCUGGUAGUCCACGCCCUAAACGAUGUCAACUGGUUGUUGGGUCUUCACUGACUCAGUAACGAAGCUAACGCGUGAAGUUGACCGCCUGGGGAGUACGGCC
rnacentral:rRNA from 1 species